rnacentral:rRNA from 1 species
GACGAACGCUGGCGGCGUGCUUAACACAUGCAAGUCGAACGGAAAGGCCCUGCUUUUGUGGGGUGCUCGAGUGGCGAACGGGUGAGUAACACGUGAGUAACCUGCCCUUGACUUUGGGAUAACUUCAGGAAACUGGGGCUAAUACCGGAUAGGAGCUCCUGCUGCAUGGUGGGGGUUGGAAAGUUUCGGCGGUUGGGGAUGGACUCGCGGCUUAUCAGCUUGUUGGUGGGGUAGUGGCUUACCAAGGCUUUGACGGGUAGCCGGCCUGAGAGGGGGACCGGCCACAUUGGGACUGAGAUACGGCCCAGACUCCUACGGGAGGCAGCAGUGGGGAAUAUUGCACAAUGGGCGGAAGCCUGAUGCAGCAACGCCGCGUGCGGGAGGACGGCCUUCGGGUUGUAAACCGCUUUCGCCUGUGACGAAGCGUGAGUGACGGUAAUGGGUAAAGAAGCACCGGCUAACUACGUG